UUGAGGAAAACGAAAAAUAAAAAAGAAAAUAGUUGGUACUGCACUUGCCUACUAAUCUGCGCUUCUUUUGCCUACACACCUUUAUUUCUUUUCUUUUUUUUUUUGGUUUUUACUUAUCCCCAGUUCCCAAUUUUACAAAAGGAAAACAUUGAAGAACCCUAACUUCUUACUGACUUCUUCUCCCCUUACUCUCAUUUAAGGACUGGCGCUACUCUCAGAUCGACGUUGGCCAAACUCUGACGACGGCCGACCGGUGUUCGCCUGCUUUCCUUUAGCCUUCUCUGAGUUCUCUCUCUUUGACAAAGCAAAACUCCAGUCUUCAGUUUUGUAGCCUGAUGAACAGAGUUUUGCAAAGGUGUAUUUCUGCCACCAGACCAUCAAUGUUAAAAUGAGAUGUGAUGGUUAGUUACCCGACUUGUCUCUGUAUGUGUUGUAUAAUAUUGUGUAGAAUUUAUUAUGAUUAAUUUAUAAUUAUCUUAUAAGUGUAUUCCAUCUUAUUGUCAUGGAGCAGUCAUGGGUUUUUGCUA